rnacentral:rRNA from 1 species
AGCAGCCGCGGUAAUUCCAGCUCCAAUAGCGUAUAUUAAAGUUGUUGCAGUUAAAAAGCUCGUAGUUGAAUUUCGGGGUUAGUAGGUUGGUCGUGCCACUGGUAUGUACUGGUUCUACUGAUCCCUCCUUCUUGUAGAACCGUAAUGCCAUUCACUUGGUGUUGCGGGGAAACAGGACUGUUACUUUGAAAAAAUUAGAGUGUUUAAAGCAGGCUAACGCUUGAAUACAUUAGCAUGGAAUAAUGAAAUAGGACGUUCGAUCCUAUUUUGUUGGUUUCUAGGAUUGACGUAAUGAUUAAUAGGGAUAGUUGGGGGCAUUAGUAUUCAAUUGUCAGAGGUGAAAUUCUUGGAUUUAUUGAAGACUAACUACUGCGAAAGCAUUUGCCAAGGAUGUUUUCAUUAAUCAAGAACGAAAGUUAGGGGAUCGAAGACGAUCAGAUACCGUCGUAGUCUUAACCAUAAACUAUGCCGACUAGGGAUCGGAUGAUGUUAAUUUUUUAAUGUACUCAUUCGGCGCCUU